UGGGGAAUAUUGGGCAAUGGGCGCAAGCCUGACCCAGCAACGCCGCGUGAAGGAAGAAGGCUCUCGGGUUGUAAACUUCUUUUAAGAGGGACGAAACAAAUGACGGUACCUCUUGAAUAAGCCACGGCUAACUACGUGCCAGCAGCCGCGGUAAUACGUAGGUGGCGAGCGUUAUCCGGAUUUACUGGGUGUAAAGGGCGUGUAGGCGGGAAGGCAAGUCAGAUGUGAAAACUAUGGGCUCAACCCAUAGCCUGCAUUUGAAACUGUUUUUCUUGAGUGAUGGAGAGGCAGGCGGAAUUCCGUGUGUAGCGGUGAAAUGCGUAGAUAUACGGAGGAACACCAGUGGCGAAGGCGGCCUGCUGGACAUUAACUGACGCUGAGGCGCGAAAGCGUGGGGAGCAAACA
rnacentral:rRNA from 1 species